AGAGAGAGACAUGCGCGCAUAUCAAUAAGCGGAGGAAAAGAAACUAACAAGGAUUCCCUUAGUAACGGCGAGUGAAGCGGGAAGAGCUCAAAUUUGAAAUCUUCAAGGUUUUACCUUGACGAAUUGUAGUUUAAAGAAGUGUUUUCUGCUGAAGUUUUGGUAAAAGUUCUUUGGAAUAGGACAUCAUAGAGGGUGAGAAUCCCGUAUUUGACCAUUAUUUUCAGCUUUGUGAUACACUUUCAAAGAGUCGGAUUGUUUGGGAAUGCAGUCCAAAAUGGGUGGUAAAUUUCAUCUAAAGCUAAAUAUUGGCGAGAGACCGAUAGCGAACAAGUACCGUGAGGGAAAGAUGAAAAGAACUUUGAAAAGAGAGUUAAACAGUACGUGAAAUUGUCAAAAGGGAAAGCGUUUGACACCAGUGUUGUUUUCUCGAAAAUCAAUUAAAAAUGGCUCGAUUUUGUAUUGUUGAGACCUUAAAAGCUCACUGUACAUUUUUCGUGUCUUUUUUAAUGCACUUUUCGUUUAACAAGUCAACAUCAGUUUCUUUUGUUGUAAAAGGGUCAUUGGAAGGUGGCUUUCUUUUCGGAGAAAGUGUUUAUAGCCUUUGGCCUCUGCAAUCGGAAGAGACUGAGGUCUGCAGCGUAGACUCUUCGGGGUUAGAUACAUUUGUGCUAAGUUAUAGCUUUUUAUAGACAACUUGUUGACUAUAAUUAGUCUUGUAGCUUACUCGCUUAUGCUAUUUUACCUACGCUUAGGAUGUUGAAGAUGUAGCACAUCAU
rnacentral:rRNA from 1 species